UGGAAUUUGAUCCUGGCUCAGGAUGAACGCUGGCGGCGUGCUUAACACAUGCAAGUCGAACGAUGAUGCCCACUUGUGGGUGGAUUAGUGGCGAACGGGUGAGUAACACGUGAGUAACCUGCCCUUGACUCUGGGAUAAGCCUGGGAAACUGGGUCUAAUACCGGAUAUGACUCCUCAUCGCAUGGUGGGGGGUGGAAAGCUUUAUUGUGGUUUUGGAUGGACUCGCGGCCUAUCAGCUUGUUGGUGAGGUAAUGGCUCACCAAGGCGACGACGGGUAGCCGGCCUGAGAGGGUGACCGGCCACACUGGGACUGAGACACGGCCCAGACUCCUACGGGAGGCAGCAGUGGGGAAUAUUGCACAAUGGGCGAAAGCCUGAUGCAGCGACGCCGCGUGAGGGAUGACGGCCUUCGGGUUGU
rnacentral:rRNA from 1 species